rnacentral:rRNA from 1 species
GUGCCAGCAGCCGCGGUAAUACGUAGGGGGCGAGCGUUGUCCGGAUUUAUUGGGCGUAAAAGGCUUGUAGGUGGCCACGCCAAGUCGGACGUGAAAUAUCCCGGCUUAACCGGGAGGGGUCGUUCGAUACUGGCGGGCUCGAGGCCGGUAGGGGGAAGCGGAAUUCCCGGUGUAGUGGUGGAAUGCGUAGAUAUCGGGAGGAACACCAGUGGCGAAGGCGGCUUCCUGGACCGGUUCUGACACUGAGGAGCGAAAGCGUGGGGAGCGAUCCGGAUUAGAUACCCCUGUAGUCC